CCUGUCCCCCAAUCCCCCAGCUCAGGAAGGAAAGCCCAGCCCUUUCUGGAUCCCACAGUGUAUGGGAGCCCCUGACUCCUCACGCGCCUGAUCUGUGCCCUUGGUCCCAGGUCAGGCCCACCCCCUGCACCUCCACCUGCCCCAGCCCCUGCCUCUGCCCCAAGUGGGGCCAGCUGCCCAUGUGUGCCUGGCUGUGUACGUGGGUGUGCAGUGCACGUGAGAGCACGUGGCGGCUUCUGGGGGCCAUGUUUGGGGAGGGAGGUGUGCCAGCAGCCUGGAGAGCCUCAGUCCCUGUAGCCCCCUGCCCUGGCACAGCUGCAUGCACUUCAAGGGCAGCCUUUGGGGGUUGGGGUUUCUGCCACUUCCAGGUCUAGGCCCUGCCCCAAAUCCAGCCAGUCCUGCCCCAGCCCACCCCCACAUUGGAGCCCUCCUGCUGCUUUGGUGCCUCAAAUAAAUACAGAUGUCCCCCAGCUUCCUGCUCUGAGUGUGGCUGCCCCUUUGGGGGAGAGGCAGAGCACCCGAGGUUCGGAGGGUCCUGGGGUCUUCUGUGGUAUGGCCCAGGGGGGUGGUGGGGGAGGAGGAGUAGUCCCCUGAGCCACAGCCAGCUGCUUGCCUGACCUCAGAGGGAGCCCCUCCCCAGUGCUCUGCCCUUUCUUCUGCCCCAGGUUCAGCAGGUCAAGUGAGUUCCUCCUCCCACAGCGGAAGGAGGUGUUGGGGGGCAUGGAGGAAAGAAAGCGGGUGCAGGAAGGAGCACGCUCAGGCUGGGGCAGCACCCAGGGCCGUAGG
rnacentral:lncRNA from 1 species